CAGCAGCCGCGGUAAUACGUAGGGUGCAAGCGUUAAUCGGAAUUACUGGGCGUAAAGCGUGCGCAGGCGGUUUUGUAAGACAGAGGUGAAAUCCCCGGGCUCAACCUGGGAACUGCCUUUGUGACUGCAAGGCUAGAGUACGGCAGAGGGGGAUGGAAUUCCGCGUGUAGCAGUGAAAUGCGUAGAUAUGCGGAGGAACACCGAUGGCGAAGGCAAUCCCAUGGGCCUGUACUGACGCUCAUGCACGAAAGCGUGGGGAGCAAACAGGAUUAGAUACCCCCGUAGUCCCUGUCUCUUAUAC
rnacentral:rRNA from 1 species